rnacentral:rRNA from 1 species
GUCUAUGGCCAUACUACCCUGAAUGUGCCUGAUCUUGUCUGAUCUCAGAAGCAAAGCAGGGUCGGGUCUGGUUAGUACUUGAAUGGAAUACACAGAAGGAGGGCACCAGAUGCAGAAA